rnacentral:rRNA from 1 species
UACAGGGGGUGCAAACGUUGCUCGGAAUCAUUGGGCGUAAAGCGCACGUAGGCGGUUCGUUAUGUCGGAUGUGAAAGCCCUUGGCUUAACCGAGGAAGUGCAUCCGAAACUGGCGAGCUAGAGUACUAAAGAGGAUCGCGGAAUUCCCGGUGUAGAGGUGAAAUUCGUAGAUAUCGGGAGGAACACCGGUGGCGAAGGCGGCGAUCUGGGUAGAUACUGACGCUGAGGUGCGAAAGCAUGGGGAGCGAACAGG